CCUACGGGUGGCAGCAGUGAGGAAUAUUGGUCAAUGGACGCGAGUCUGAACCAGCCAAGUAGCGUGCAGGAUGACUGCCCUAUGGGUUGUAAACUGCUUUUAUACGGGGAUAAACCAAGAUACGCGUAUCUUCUUGUAUGUACCAUAUGAAUAAGGAUCGGCUAACUCCGUGCCAGCAGCCGCGGUAAUACGGAGGAUCCGAGCGUUAUCCGGAUUUAUUGGGUUUAAAGGGAGCGUAGGCGGACGGUUAAGUGAGUUGUGAAAUCUUGCGGCUCAACCGUGGAAUUGCAGUUGAAACUGGGAGUCUUGAGUGCAGUAGAGGUAGGCGGAAUUCGUGGUGUAGCGGUGAAAUGCUUAGAGAUCACGAAGAACUCCGAUUGCGAAGGCAGCUCACCGGACUGCUACUGACGCUGAGGCUCGAAAGUGUGGGUAUCAAACAGGAUUAGAUACCCCAGUAGUC
rnacentral:rRNA from 1 species